GAGUCUUAAUUGGGCGUUAAGUUGCAGGGUAUAGACCCGAAACCCGGUGAUCUAGCCAUGGGCAGGUUGAAGGUUGGGUAACACUAACUGGAGGACCGAACCGACUAAUGUUGAAAAAUUAGCGGAUGACCUGUGGCUGGGGGUGAAAGGCCAAUCAAACCGGGAGAUAGCUGGUUCUCCCCGAAAGCUAUUUAGGUAGCGCCUCGUGAAUUCAUCUCCGGGGGUAGAGCACUGUUUCGGCUAGGGGGCCAUCCCGGCUUACCAACCCGAUGCAAACUGCGAAUACCGGAGAAUGUUAUCACGGGAGACACACGGCGGGUGCUAACGUCCGUCGUGAAGAGGGAAACAACCCAGACCGCCAGCUAAGGUCCCAAAGUCAUGGUUAAGUGGGAAACGAUGUGGGAAGGCCCAGACAGCCAGGAUGUUGGCUUAGAAGCAGCCAUCAUUUAAAGAAAGCGUAAUAGCUCACUGGUCGAGUCGGCCUGCGCGGAAGAUGUAACGGGGCUAAACCAUGCACCGAAGCUGCGGCAGCGACGCUGAUGCGUUGUUGGGUAGGGGAGCGUUCUGUAAGCCUGCGAAGGUGGCCUGUGAGGGUUGCUGGAGGUAUCAGAAGUGCGAAUGCUGACAUAAGUAACGAUAAAGCGGGUGAAAAGCCCGCUCGCCGGAAGACCAAGGGUUCCUGUCCAACGUUAAUCGGGGCAGGGUGAGUCGACCCCUAAGGCGAGGCCGAAAGGCGUAGUCGAUGGGAAACGGGUUAAUAUUCCCGUACUUGGUGUUACUGCGAAGGGGGGACGGAGAAGGCUAUGUUGGCCGGGCGACGGUUGUCCCGGUUUAAGCGUGUAGGUGUGUGUUCCAGGUAAAUCCGGUUCACUUUAACACUGAGGCGUGAUGACGAGGCACUACGGUGCUGAAGCAACAAAUGCCCUGCUUCCAGGAAAAGCCUCUAAGCAUCAGGUAACAUCAAAUCGUACCCCAAACCGACACAGGUGGUCAGGUAGAGAAUACCAAGGCGCUUGAGAGAACUCGGGUGAAGGAACUAGGCAAAAUGGUGCCGUAACUUCGGGAGAAGGCACGCUGACACGUAGGUGAAGUGAUUUACUCAUGGAGCUGAAGUCAGUCGAAGAUACCAGCUGGCUGCAACUGUUUAUUAAAAACACAGCACUGUGCAAACACGAAAGUGGACGUAUACGGUGUGACGCCUGCCCGGUGCCGGAAGGUUAAUUGAUGGGGUCAGCGCAAGCGAAGCUCCUGAUCGAAGCCCCGGUAAACGGCGGCCGUAACUAUAACGGUCCUAAGGUAGCGAAAUUCCUUGUCGGGUAAGUUCCGACCUGCACGAAUGGCGUAAUGAUGGCCAGGCUGUCUCCACCCGAGACUCAGUGAAAUUGAACUCGCUGUGAAGAUGCAGUGUACCCGCGGCAAGACGGAAAGACCCCGUGAACCUUUACUAUAGCUUGACACUGAACAUUGAGCCUUGAUGUGUAGGAUAGGUGGGAGGCUUUGAAGUGUGGACGCCAGUCUGCAUGGAGCCGGCCUUGAAAUACCACCCUUUAAUGUUUGAUGUUCUAACGUGGACCCGUGAUCCGGGUUGCGGACAGUGUCUGGUGGGUAGUUUGACUGGGGCGGUCUCCUCCUAAAGAGUAACGGAGGAGCACGAAGGUUGGCUAAUCCUGGUCGGACAUCAGGAGGUUAGUGCAAUGGCAUAAGCCAGCUUGACUGCGAGCGUGACGGCGCGAGCAGGUGCGAAAGCAGGUCAUAGUGAUCCGGUGGUUCUGAAUGGAAGGGCCAUCGCUCAACGGAUAAAAGGUACUCCGGGGAUAACAGGCUGAUACCGCCCAAGAGUUCAUAUCGACGGCGGUGUUUGGCACCUCGAUGUCGGCUCAUCACAUCCUGGGGCUGAAGUAGGUCCCAAGGGUAUGGCUGUUCGCCAUUUAAAGUGGUACGCGAGCUGGGUUUAGAACGUCGUGAGACAGUUCGGUCCCUAUCUGCCGUGGGCGCUGGAGAACUGAGGGGGGCUGCUCCUAGUACGAGAGGACCGGAGUGGACGCAUCACUGGUGUUCGGGUUGUCAUGCCAAUGGCACUGCCCGGUAGCUAAAUGCGGAAGAGAUAAGUGCUGAAAGCAUCUAAGCACGAAACUUGCCCCGA
rnacentral:rRNA from 1 species